rnacentral:rRNA from 1 species
GCUCCGCCAGUGUAUAUCUAUGCUGCUGCGGUUAAAAAGCUCGUAGUUGGAUCUACGUGCCUGAAGCCAGUCCACCUGAAUGGUUGGUACUGAUCUUCGGCACUAUAUAGACGGUUCGCUCUUGGUGCUCUUAACCGGGUGUCUUGAGUGUCCGUCAAGUUUACUUUGAAAAAAUUAGAGUGCUUAAAACAGGCGUUAGC